rnacentral:snoRNA from 1 species
UUGUCUUCUGCCGGACUCGGCCAGUGGCGUUCUCUCCCGCUGGUCUUGAGUAGGAUUCACCCUCAAUGAGUGGUUGUAUUAGACAAGAGUAUGCUUCACAACGUUCUUUGAGUACGGGACCUCUUCUGCCUCUAUGGAGAAUUUCGUAAUUAAUCUGUUGUGACAUCC